AAGUCGUAACAAGGUUUCCGUAGGUGAACCUGCGGAAGGAUCAUUAAUGAGAACCAUGGGGAGCGUGGGGCGGGUCAAACCCCUCGCGUCUCUCCCAAUCUCCCAAAACCCCCUGUCUACCGACCUCACACACACAUAAAGUACGCAAUAAAAAGUCGUCCUUAGCGGGGCGCACUACAAUAAAUGUACAAAAAACAAAACUUUCAACAACGGAUCUCUUGGUUCUG
rnacentral:misc_RNA from 1 species